rnacentral:rRNA from 1 species
UACGAGGGGGCGAGCGUUGUUCGGAAUUAUUGGGCGUAAAGGGUGCGUAGGCGGUUUGGUAAGUCUUAUGUGAAAUCUACAGGCUCAACUUGUAGUCUGCAUGAGAAACUGCCGGGCUUGAGUAUGGGAGAGGUGAGUGGAAUUCCUGGUGUAGCGGUGGAAUGCGCAGAUAUCAGGAGGAACACCAAUAGCGAAGGCAGCUCGCUGGGACGUUACUGACACUAAGGCGCGAAAGCGUGGGGAGCGAACAGG